rnacentral:rRNA from 1 species
UUAAAUUGAAGAGUUUGAUCAUGGCUCAGAUUGAACGCUGGCGGCAGGCCUAACACAUGCAAGUCGAGCGGAAACGACUUAACUGAACCUUCGGGGAACGUUAAGGGCGUCGAGCGGCGGACGGGUGAGUAAUG